rnacentral:rRNA from 1 species
UACGUAGGGAGCAAGCGUUGUCCGGAAUCAUUGGGCGUAAAGCGCUCGUAGGUGGCCUCAUAAGUCCGCUGUGAAAGUCAAAGGCUCAACCUUUGAAAGCCGGUGGAUACUGUGAGGCUAGAGUACGGAAGAGGCGAGUGGAAUUCCUGGUGUAGCGGUGGAAUGCGCAGAUAUCAGGAGGAACACCGGUGGCGAAGGCGGGUCUCUGGGCCGAUACUGACGCUGAGGAGCGAAAGCGUGGGGAGCGAACAGG